rnacentral:lncRNA from 1 species
CCACAACUUGUAGGAUACCAAGGAGAAACAAACUAAUAGGUUGUUGUCUGCAUGUCUUCUUAGUGUCCAAUGUUCAAAGAAAAUAGAAGGCAAUCAAACUUCUCUAAGCCACAUGAAGGACAUAACUCUUGGGGUAACGAGCAAAAUAUAGGCAACAAGUUUAGUUUAUCAUAGAUUAGUAGCUUCUAUAAAGAUAACUGAAUAUAGAUGUAGGGUUAUCGUAGCCUAUAUUCUCAUGAAAGGAGAAAGUAGGGGACUUUGAAUACCACAACUUGUAGGAUACCAAGGAGAAACAAACUAAUAGGUUGUUGUUUGCAUGUCUUCUUGGUGUCCAAUAUUCAAAGAAAUUAAAAAUCCAUCAAACUUUCUGAUCCACACAAAGGACAUAACUUAAUCUCAGAAAUAGAAACCAAAAAUGGCUACACAAUUGUAUAGAGGCGGUUGCUCCAAUGCACUUUGAGAUCAGACCAAUUGAUGUCUAUCAC